rnacentral:rRNA from 1 species
UACGUAGGGUGCGAGCGUUAAUCGGAAUUACUGGGCGUAAAGCGUGCGCAGGCGGUUCGUUGUGUCGGUGGUGAAAUCCCCGGGCUUAACCUGGGAAUGGCCAUGGAAACUGGCGAACUGGAGUGCGGCAGAGGGGGGUGGAAUUCCGCGUGUAGCAGUGAAAUGCGUAGAGAUGCGGAGGAACACCGGUGGCGAAGGCGGUUCUCUGGGCAUUACCUGACGCUGAGGAGCGAAAGUGUGGGGAGCGAACAGG